ensembl:rRNA 5S_rRNA 5S ribosomal RNA
GUCUGCAGCCAUACCACCCUGAUGACACCCAGUCUCCUUCGAUCUCCAAAGCUAAACAGAGUUGGGCCUGGUUAGUACUUAGAUGGGAGAAAAAAAUAACUAUUAAAAAAGGAUCUGGUCUCUGUUAUUG